AGCGGUGGCCGGUGUCAUUUUUGUGACGUUGCAGCUAGUAAUAUGAGCCCAGUUGCAUAGUCACAAAAGUGAUCAUUGGAAACUGUG
rnacentral:pre_miRNA from 7 species